CCUACGGGAGGCAGCAGUGGGGAAUCUUGCGCAAUGGGCGAAAGCCUGACGCAGCAACGCCGCGUGCGGGAAGAAGGCUUUCGGGCUGUAAACCGCUUUCAGCAGGAACGAAAAUGACGGUACCUGCAGAAGAAGGAGCGGCCAACUAUGUGCCAGCAGCCGCGGUGAUACAUAGGCUUCAAGCGUUGUCCGGAUUUAUUGGGCGUAAAGAGUUCGUAGGCGGUCAAGUAAGUCGGGUGUGAAAAUUCUGGGCUCAACCCAGAGACGCCACCCGAUACUGCUUAACUUGAGUUCGAUAGGGGAGUGGGGAAUUCCUAGUGUAGCGGUGAAAUGCGCAGAUAUUAGGAGGAACACCGGUGGCGAAGGCGCCACUCUGGAUCGAUACUGACGCUGAGGAACGAAAGCAUGGGUAGCAAACAGGAUUAGAUACCCUGGUAGUCCAUGCCGUAAACGGUGGGCACUAGGUGUGGGUUUCUAUUAACGAAAUCCGCGCCGUCGCUAACGCAUUAAGUGCCCGCCUGGGGAGUACGGUCGCAAGACUAAAACUCAAAGGAAUUGAACGG
rnacentral:rRNA from 1 species